rnacentral:lncRNA from 1 species
UUUUGCAUUAUCUUUUUAAAAAAAAAUAAACAUGCCAUGAUGCAAAUGAUGAGACCAUGACUGGUUGGCUGUGUAUCACGAGGCACAAGAUCAGAGCUUCGGCAUGACUUCGGAACCUGAAACCAUAGAUCAAGGUCAUAUGGAACCCAUACUUCAAAAUCGAGUCACCAACAGGACCCAAGAGUCACCAACAGGACACGGUUACCAACAAAUCAAGUCACCAACAGUACCUGUAAAAUGAUUCAUUC